UAAGGUGACUAUAUCAGCAGGGUUCCACCUCUUCCCAUUCCGAACAGAGAAGUUAAGCCUGCUAGAGCCGAUGGUACUGCAUUUGUGGGAGAGUAGGUCGUCGCCGACU
rfam:Bacteroidetes bacterium GWF2_33_16 gwf2_scaffold_224, whole genome shotgun sequence.